GAGGGAGGUGGCUACACUCUACUUCCCUCUGCCGAGCAAGACAUGCUGGUCUGUCCUGGGCUUGCCUUGUCUCCUGCCCGGUUGGUUUGGGUUCUUUAAAUAACAGGCAGGUCUGCCAAGGGAGCGAGAGGGACUCUGUCCAAGCAGGCGGUGUGUGGGUGAGGAUGCUGUUGCGUGUGCAGGUGCUGAAGGAAGACACAGGCUCUGUGGGAAACAAUAUAGUGGAUGUCACUUGUAUCAGAGGUGCAAACAAGGCGCUAGCUUUUCCCGUGUGCAUACAUUAAACUGUUCCACCCUCUCAUCCGUUCUGCCUUUAUAGAAAAUGCUAGGAGGUCACUGUAGCUGACUGCAUAAGCCUCUUGGUCCAGCUGCUUCCCACCACCCUUCUGUGUUGCAAAUAGAAAUCCUUUCAAAGCCCAGAGUGGCUACCAGGGCUCACACACGCCAUAGAGAUCAAAGCUGAAAAUAGAAGGCCCAGAUCACUGCCUGUGAAUGACUGACAAGACUGUAUUUCAGUGCUCUCCUCCCAAUGCCAAAACACUUAUGGAUCUGCAUAGACAUCAUGUAAUUACUUUCCAGUGUCCCAAGCAGUGGGCUUUCUUCAAAAGACAAACUAGAUAGCUCUGAACACAGCUGACAAUUUAAAAUGAGUUUCACUUUUUGCUUUUGUUGCUUGAGAUGACUUUCUGUUUGCAGGAUGCCCAUUCUUCCAGUUCAUCUGAGCAGGAGGGGAACAUUCUCCUGCAAGAUAGCUUACUUGGGAAGAGCUUGGUGAUGGAUAGUGGUGAUGGACUCACAGGAACCACAUGCAGAGUGACAAAUAUUUCCCUAUCCCACACUGCAACUGUUGCUUUGGGUUUGUAGGAAGAAAAGUUUUGGGGUGUGAGGGCAGCAGCCGGAAGACAGAUAAGUCUCUUUCGGCAUCAAUGACUUCCAGUCACAAGUUUUCCUCCCGUGCUCAGGAUCUGGUUCAGUCUCUCCAGUUGCAUCUCUGGCACUGUGUCACUGCAAGAUUACAAUUAUUAAGGGAAAGCAGCUUCUCCCACGUCUGUCAACUCUCUCCAGUGAAGUGUGGGGAUCUGGGCCACAUAUCUAUGUCAGUCCCUCUCACACCCUGCUGGUGGCUGCAUCCCAGCUUCACCUGUAGCUGUUCCUGCUUCCUACACAGAAUUUCUAUUCUUUCAGCUUUCCAUAUCCAACUACUACUAGGUUAUCCAUCAAUUGCCUUCCUAAACGCUUCUGCCAUUUUCUCUAGUAACAUACUAGAUGCAGCUCCAUCGCAGAAUGGUUCUUUGUACACCUUUUUAUGUAAAAAAUGGUCAAAUCAACACAAACUUGUGCACUCAUAACAAGGAUUGAAUUUUUUUUUGUGAACUAGCAUAGAGGUCGGGGAACCAGUCAGUUCAGAGAUCCUCACUCUCCCCUGGAGAACUUCUCCCUAGGCAAGACACUUUAAUGUCAUGCAGAGAAAAAGUGUCACUCCCAGAGGCCUUUGAGUUGAAUGUGUUAAUUUGUUACACCCCAUUGGUUUCCCUCCCUAUCAAUCCACGCUGAUACAUGUAUCCAAGUUUCCCCCUCCCCUCUCUUUCCCUAUAAAUAUCCCAGUUUUUUUUGCUCUGUUCAGAGUGUUGCUGUCACUGGCUCCCUUCACUGAGGGCCCUGCUAUACUGAAGGCUAUUUUUCAGUGGAAUGCCAUACAGGGCUCUAGUCUCUCUCUCCGUGUUGCCUGCACACUGCUGCUGAGCUGAAAUCACUCGCCGGGCAGAGGAUGUGCCUGUGCCCCUGGGCAGUCCUUUUCAGGAUGGCUUCUUCAGGGUAGUCGCGGCACCCCUGUCAUUGACAUCGCCACGGCAAGUGGCACCCAAUGUGGGGCAGUCAAAGAGCCCCUGAAGAAGUGUCCGCCUGCAGUUUUAACUGCAGAGUGUGCCGCUGUUGGAGCUGCCACCCUCCGAGGAGAACCUCUUGUGUUCUAGCAAGAGGCAAUCCGAAGGGCUGCCACCAGGACCCUCGGUGACCAUCUGGGGCUAAGAAGACAGAAGAUAGAAGAGCCCUUGAGGCCCGGCCGCCAGGUGACCACCCACCCACCAGCUUUCUGUUGGCCUCAUCGGCAUCGGCCGAAGAAAACUUACCAUGGAGGCAGAACCAUCCUUAAGUUCCUGACCUUCUGGAUGCUCCUGAGAACAUCUGUCGUGGAUGCCUGGCUGGUAGCACAGCCCCAGGAGAAUGUGUGGAUCACCCUCGCAAAGACUCUCAAGCAAGACUACAUGUGCUUGUCCAUGGGCAGUGCCACCACUCCUUGCCCAUGGACAGAGCUGCGAGGAAUUUGACAGGCUGUGCUGCUUCAGCUUCUCCAAUCACGGCGAAAGCAUCCACACACGCAUCCAGAAAAUUAACAACCUGGUCCAGGAACUCAAAAGGAAAAGGAGGCCCAAUGGUUUGAGGACCUUUUGGGCAGUUGGGGACUCAAGGGAUGGGUUGCCUCCAUCUUAAAAAACCAUUUUUUGAAUUCUCUUAAUUAUAGUUAUUUUUUUAUGUAUGUUGUGUUUUAAAAAGUUGCUAACUAGGUCUCUGGGAGAUGCCUUUUUAUUAAAUAAAGAAGGAGGAGUUGUGGAGGCCGGGGAACCACUCAGUUCAGAGAUCCUCUCUCUCCCCUGGAGAACUUCUCCCUAGGCAAGACACUUUAAUGUCAUGCAGAGAAAAAGUGUCACUCCCAGAGGC